CGUAGGUGAACCUGCGGAAGGAUCAUUAAAGAAUUUAAAGAGUGCACUUCAUUGUGGCUCGACAUUUUCUACCAUUCACCUUAGUGCACUGUAAUACCUUUUUUUAUUAGACUCUACAAAGUUAUUGAAUGUAACACUUUUUUAUAAAGAAAUAAAACUUUUAACAACGGAUCUCUUGGCUCUC
rnacentral:misc_RNA from 1 species